rnacentral:rRNA from 1 species
UAGGGAAUCUUCCGCAAUGGGCGAAAGCCUGACGGAGCAACGCCGCGUGAGUGAUGAAGGUCUUCGGAUCGUAAAACUCUGUUAUUAGGGAAGAACAAAUGUGUAAGUAACUAUGCACAUCUUGACGGUACCUAAUCAGAAAGCCACGGCUAACUACGUGCCAGCAGCCGCGGUAAUACGUAGGUGGCAAGCGUUAUCCGGAAUUAUUGAGCGUAAAGCGCGCGUAGGCGGUUUUUUAAGUCUGAUGUGAAAGCCCACGGCUCAACCGUGGAGGGUCAUUGGAAACUGGAAAACUUGAGUGCAGAAGAGGAAAGUGGAAUUCCAUGUGUAGCGGUGAAAUGCGCAGAGAUAUGGAGGAACACCAGUGGCGAAGGCGACUUUCUGGUCUGUAACUGACGCUGAUGUGCGAAAGCGUGGGGAUCAAACAGG